GAAAUACCACCCUUGUAUGUUUGAUGUUCUAACUUAGACCCAUUAUCUGGGUUGAGGACAGUGCCUGGUGGGUAGUUUGACUGGGGCGGUCUCCUCCCAAAGAGUAACGGAGGAGCACGAAGGUGGGCUAAUCACGGUUGGACAUCGUGAGGUUAGUGCAAUGGCAUAAGCCCGCUUAACUGCGAGAAUGACGGUUCGAGCAGGUGCGAAAGCAGGUCAUAGUGAUCCGGUGGUUCUGUAUGGAAGGGCCAUCGCUCAACGGAUAAAAGGUACUCCGGGGAUAACAGGCUGAUACCGCCCAAGAGUUCAUAUCGACGGCGGUGUUUGGCACCUCGAUGUCGGCUCAUCACAUCCUGGGGCUGAAGUCGGUCCCAAGGGUAUGGCUGUUCGCCAUUUAAAGUGGUACGCGAGCUGGGUUUAGAACGUCGUGAGACAGUUCGGUCCCUAUCUGCCGUGGGCGUUGGAAGAUUGAAGGGGGCUGCUCCUAGUACGAGAGGACCGGAGUGGACGAACCUCUGGUGUUCGGGUUGUGUCGCCAGACGCAUUG
rnacentral:rRNA from 1 species